UGGGGAAUCUUGCACAAUGGGGGAAACCCUGAUGCAGCGACGCCGCGUGAGCGAUGAAGCCCUUCGGGGUGUAAAGCUCUUUCAGUAGGGACGAUUAUGACGGUACCUGCAGAAGAAGCUGCGGCUAACUACGUGCCAGCAGCCGCGGUAAUACGUAGGCAGCAAGCGUUGUUCGGAGUUACUGGGCGUAAAGAGAGCGUAGGCGGUUCGCUAAGUUUGGUGUGAAAUCUCCUGGCUUAACUGGGAGGGUGCGCCGAAAAACUGGCGGGCUCGAGUGUGGGAGAGGAAAGCGGAAUUCCUGGUGUAGCGGUGAAAUGCGUAGAUAUCAGGAGGAACACCUGUGGUGAAGACGGCUUUCUGGACCAUUACUGACGCUGAGGCUCGAAAGCGUGGGGAGC
rnacentral:rRNA from 1 species